UGUACAUUUCCCAGAUUUUUGGGUAUUGGAUUGGGAACAUACAGAAUCGGUCUGGGUUUGGAGCGAGAAGAGGUUCUUCUGGGAAAGAAGGCAUUGUUUGGUUUUGGGAAUUGAAAAAAGUGAUUAAUUGUAAAGAGAGAAGAAAGUGUUUUCGUUUUGUUUUGUUUUGUUGAUAGAGAAUGAAGAAGAGAUAAGGGGUUUAAAUAAGCGAUUUUGAGUGAAAAUAGAAGCGGGUGAUUUGAAAAUUUGGGGGGGUUUGGAUUUGGAAAAAACGUGCGGGAGAAUCUUUGAAAGGACGCGGGUGAUUUUGAAAUUUUUUGGUGAAAACUUUCUUGAGAAGAUUUUGGUAGGGGUAGUUUGGGGAGAAAAAUAUCUGAAGGUGGUUGACGUUGAC
rnacentral:lncRNA from 1 species